rnacentral:rRNA from 1 species
UACAGAGGGGUGCAAGCGUUUAAUCGGAAUUACUGGGCGUAAAAGCGUGCGUAGACGGUUAUGUAAGUCAGAUGUGAAAAGCCCCCCGGGCUCAACCUGGGGAGUUUGCAUUUUGAGACUGUGUAGCUAGGGGUGCGGGAAGAGGGAAGCGGGAAUUUUCCCGGGUGUAGCGGUGAAAUGCGUAGAUAUCGGAAGGAACACCAGU